GUCAAAAUUAUAUAUAUUAAUUGCCAGAAAACCAUUGUUUGCCGAAUCACACUUUCUUUUCCUUUUUCGGAAUUCUGUGUUAAUUUUAAUCACAGUGCCUUAGACUUAUUUGCCAAUUUCGUUUGAUCAAGCUACAUCAAUAUUUAGUCUUAGUUUUUCAUUCCUGUUCGUGCGGCUUACGUGUAAGGAGCUCCCCGAUAAGAGUUUUUCGGUCGGCCUAACAAUACCGGUACAGAAAUAUAUAAAAUAUUAAAAGUGAUCAAAAUUAAACGCACAAUUUUGUAUCGGUACAGAAAUAUAUAAGAUUGUUAAAUUUAUUCGUAUAUACCAAAUAUUUGUUAUUAUUAGAAAGAAACCUACAUAAAUGAAAAUCAAAGUGCCUUACUUAUAGUCUGUAUAUAUAGUCUUUAGUCUGUCUUGCCGGUUCGUGUGGUUUAAUUUCAAGGACCUCAGAUUUAUUUGUCAAGUUCGUUUCAUCAAAUCACGUCAAAUUUUAGUCAUUCCUGUUCGUGCGGCAGAAAAAAGGUUUCCCCUAUAAGCCCUCGGAACAAGAAUCGCGAUUUUCUUGCCGGUUCGUGUGGCUUAUUUUCAGGAAGCUCCGCGUUUAAAUUACGGACCUCUUGACAACACUGCUUUUCGGUAUUUCGUUCGGACUGACAAUCAAAGUGCCUCAGAAUUAUUUGUCAAGUUCGUUUGAUGAAAUUACAUUAAACUGUAGUCCUACGAUUUUCAUUCCUGUUCGUGCGGCUAAUUGGUAAGGAGCUCUCCCUGUUCGUUUGGAAGUGAUUAAACGUCGGAAUGAAAGAAUGUCAAACCUCGGAUUUAUGUGAUACCGAUUGGAUGGACCUACGCCGAGUUCAAAGCUAAUAAUCCUUCCUGGACUAACAUGGAUAUCAAGAGGAUAUAGCUUUCUUGGCAAUUGUUUGCCGCUUUCGGGUCCUUCUCUUUGGAAUCUGAGGUGGGGGCUACUUAAGUCGGUUUGUUGAUCUGAAAGAAUACUCGCUAUUUCCUCGCGUUUCCGGUUUAGUUUCUUGAUCGGCGGCAGAUUAGGUUUGCCUCCCUUUGCGUGGCGCUUUUACUCAUGCUUAUUCUAUGAUGAGAAUAAUAAUGAGUAAAUGAGUCCCGGGAACUGUGGUUUGGAGUAUCUCCUUUAAAGCCAGAUAGAAAGGCUCUUGGGUACUCAUUCACGGUUUAACGUGGGACGCAAUCCAAAACUGCCGCCGUUCAAUAAACUGAAUCGGAACGGGAGGAACUAGGGAGUAUUCCUACCGAUAACCCAAUGGGCUUGAGAGAGCAGCACCUCCACAGAUUGCAAAUAGAGUGAUUCGUUGGCGACAAACAUUUGGGGAAAGAAAGCUGCAAGGAUCAUCAAGAAUUACAUCGAUCCAUGGGAUCCCAGAGGAAGCCAUCAAACGAUCCGUCGAACAGAACUCUUGCCCAUGUGGAAACAAAUUCAUUGUUAAAUAAAAAUUCUAUAAAUACA